rnacentral:rRNA from 1 species
AUUGAACGCUGGCGGCAGGCCUAACACAUGCAAGUCGAGCGGGGUUUUCGGACCUAGCGGCGGACGGGUGAGUAAUGCGUAGGAAGCUGCCCGAUAGAGGGGGAUACCAGUUGGAAACGACUGUUAAUACCGCAUAAUGUCUACGGACCAAAGUGUGGGACCUUCGGGCCACAUGCUAUCGGAUGCGCCUACGGGGAGUUAGCUAGUUGCGGAGGUAAUGGCUCACCAAGGCGACGAACUCUGGCUGGUUUGAGAGGAUGAUCAGCCACACUGGAACUGGGGCACGGUCCAGACUCCUACGGGAGGCAGCAGUGGGGAAUAUUGGACAAUGGGCGCAAGCCUGAUCCAGCCAUGCCGCGUGUGUGAAGAAGGCCUUCGGGUUGUAAAGCACUUUCAGCGAGGAGGAAGGGGUUGUAGUUAAUAGCUGCAACCUUUGACGUUACUCGCAGAAGAAGCACCGGCUAACUCUGUGCCAGCCGCCGCAGUAAAAC